rnacentral:rRNA from 1 species
UACGUAGGGUGCGAGCGUUGUCCGGAAUUACUGGGCGUAAAGAGCUCGUAGGUGGUUUGUCGCGUUGUUCGUGAAAACUUACAGCUCAACUGUGGGCGUGCGGGCGAUACGGGCAGACUAGAGUACUGCAGGGGAGACUGGAAUUCCUGGUGUAGCGGUGGAAGUGCGCAGAUAUCAGGAGGAACACCGGUGGCGAAGGCGGGUCUCUGGGCAGUAACUGACGCUGAGGAGCGAAAGCGUGGGGAGCGAACAGG